AGCUGUGGUCAUACCUGGCAUGUGACCCCGGGACC
rnacentral:piRNA from 1 species